rnacentral:rRNA from 1 species
GACGAACGCUGGCGGCGUGCUUAACACAUGCAAGUCGAACGGAAAGGCCCUGCUUUUGUGGGGUGCUCGAGUGGCGAACGGGUGAGUAACACGUGAGUAACCUGCCCUUGACUUUGGGAUAACUUCGGGAAACCGGAGCUAAUACCGGAUAAUAUAUUGAACCGCAUGGUUCAGUAGUGAAAGACGGUUUUGCUGUCACUUAUAGAUGGAUCCGCGCCGCAUUAGCUAGUUGGUAAGGUAACGGCUUACCAAGGCAACGAUGCGUAGCCGACCUGAGAGGGUGAUCGGCCACACUGGAACUGAGACACGGUCCAGACUCCUACGGGAGGCAGCAGUAGGGAAUCUUCCGCAAUGGGCGAAAGCAUGACGGAGCAACGCCGCGUGAGUGAUGAAGGUCUUCGGAUCGUAAAAAUCUGUUAUUAGGGAAGAACAAAUGUGUAAGUAACUAUGCACGUCUUGACGGUACCUAAUCAGAAAGCCACGGCUAACUACGUG